rnacentral:rRNA from 1 species
UACGAAGGGGGCUAGCGUUGUUCGGAAUCACUGGGCGUAAAGCGCACGUAGGCGGACAUUUAAGUCAGGGGUGAAAUCCCGGGGCUCAACCCUGGAACUGCCUUUUAUACUGGGUGUCUUGGAGUCCGGGAGAGGUGAGUGGAACUGCGAGUGUAGAGGUGAAAUUCGUAGAUAUUCGCAAGAACACCAGUGGCGAAGGCGGCUCACUGGCCCGGUACUGACGCUGAGGUGCGAAAGCGUGGGGAGCAAACAGG